rnacentral:pre_miRNA from 1 species
CUCGGGCGGGGGAGGUCCCUCAGACUAGAUUGCGAGAGGGUGCAGGCCAGGCCAAGGGACCCCACUGGUGCACA